UCUGGGAAACUGCCUGAUGGAGGGGGAUAACUACUGGAAACGGUAGCUAAUACCGCAUAACGUCGAAAGACCAAAGAGGGGGACCUUCGGGCCUCUUGCCAUCGGAUGUGCCCAGAUGGGAUUAGCUUGUUGGUGGGGUAAUGGCUCACCAAGGCGACGAUCCCUAGCUGGUCUGAGAGGAUGACCAGCCACACUGGAACUGAGACACGGUCCAGACUCCUACGGGAGGCAGCAGUGGGGAAUAUUGCACAAUGGGCGCAAGCCUGAUGCAGCCAUGC
rnacentral:rRNA from 1 species